AUUGAACGCUGGCGGCAGGCCUAACACAUGCAAGUCGAACGGUAACAGGAAGAAGCUUGCUUCUUUGCUGACGAGUGGCGGACGGGUGAGUAAUGUCUGGGAAACUGCCUGAUGGAGGGGGAUAACUACUGGAAACGGUAGCUAAUACCGCAUAACGUCGCAAGACCAAAGAGGGGGACCUUCGGGCCUCUUGCCAUCGGAUGUGCCCAGAUGGGAUUAGCUAGUAGGUGGGGUAACGGCUCACCUAGGCGACGAUCCCUAGCUGGUCUGAGAGGAUGACCAGCCACACUGGAACUGAGACACGUCCAGACUCCUACGGGAGGCAGCAGUGGGGAAUAUUGCACAAUGGGCGCAAGCCUGAUGCAGCCAUGCCGCGUGUAUGAAGAAGGCCUUCGGGUUGUAAAGUACUUUCAGCGGGGAGGAAGGGAGUAAAGUUAAUACCUUUGCUCAUUGACGUUACCCGCAGAAGAAGCACCGGCUAACUCCGUG
rnacentral:rRNA from 1 species